rnacentral:rRNA from 1 species
GGUCCAGACUCCUACGGGAGGCAGCAGUGGGGAAUAUUGGGCAAUGGGCGCAAGCCUGACCCAGCAAUGCCGCGUGAAGGAAGAAGGCUUUCGGGUUGUAAACUUCUUUGACAGGGGAAGAGCAGAAGACGGUACCCCUUGAAUAAGCCACGGCUAACUACGUGCCAGCAGCCGCGGUAAUACGUAGGUGGCAAGCGUUGUCCGGAUUUACUGGGUGUAAAGGGCGUGCAGCCGGAGAGACAAGUCAGGUGUGAAAUCCGCGGGCUCAACCCGUGAACUGCAUUUGAAACUGUUUCCCUUGAGUGUCGGAGAGGUAAUCGGAAUUCCUUGUGUAGCGGUGAAAUGCGUAGAUAUAAGGAAGAACACCAGUGGCGAAGGCGGAUUACUGGACGAUAACUGACGGUGAGGCGCGAAAGCGUGGGGAGCAAACAGGAUUAGAUACCCGGGUAC